GAUGAACGCUGGCGGCGUGCCUAAUACAUGCAAGUCGAGCGAACGGACGAGAAGCUUGCUUCUCUGAUGUUAGCGGCGGACGGGUGAGUAACACGUGGAUAACCUACCUAUAAGACUGGGAUAACUUCGGGAAACCGGAGCUAAUACCGGAUAAUAUUUUGAACCGCAUGGUUCAAAAGUGAAAGACGGUCUUGCUGUCACUUAUAGAUGGAUCCGCGCUGCAUUAGCUAGUUGGUAAGGUAACGGCUUACCAAGGCAACGAUGCAUAGCCGACCUGAGAGGGUGAUCGGCCACACUGGAACUGAGACACGGUCCAGACUCCUACGGGAGGCAGCAGUAGGGAAUCUUCCGCAAUGGGCGAAAGCCUGACGGAGCAACGCCGCGUGAGUGAUGAAGGUCUUCGGAUCGUAAAACUCUGUUAUUAGGGAAGAACAUAUGUGUAAGUAACUGUGCACAUCUUGACGGUACCUAAUCAGAAAGCCACGGCUAACUACGUGCCAGCAGCCGCGGUAAUACGUAGGUGGCAAGCGUUAUCCGGAAUUAUUGGGCGUAAAGCGCGCGUAGGCGGUUUUUUAAGUCUGAUGUGAAAGCCCACGGCUCAACCGUGGAGGGUCAUUGGAAACUGGAAAACUUGAGUGCAGAAGAGGAAAGUGGAGUUCCAUGUGUAGCGGUGAAAUGCGCAGAGAUAUGGAGGAACACCAGUGGCGAAGGCGACUUUCUGGUCUGUAACUGACGCUGAUGUGCGAAAGCGUGGGGAUCAAACAGGAUUAGAUACCCUGGUAGUCCACGCCGUAAACGAUGAGUGCUAAGUGUUAGGGGGUUUCCGCCCCUUAGUGCUGCAGCUAACGCAUUAAGCACUCCGCCUGGGGAGUACGACCGCAAGGUUGAAACUCAAAGGAAUUGACGGGGACCCGCACAAGCGGUGGAGCAUGUGGUUUAAUUCGAAGCAACGCGAAGAACCUUACCAAAUCUUGACAUCCUUUGACAACUCUAGAGAUAGAGCCUUCCCCUUCGGGGGACAAAGUGACAGGUGGUGCAUGGUUGUCGUCAGCUCGUGUCGUGAGAUGUUGGGUUAAGUCCCGCAACGAGCGCAACCCUUAAGCUUAGUUGCCAUCAUUAAGUUGGGCACUCUAAGUUGACUGCCGGUGACAAACCGGAGGAAGGUGGGGACGACGUCAAAUCAUCAUGCCCCUUAUGAUUUGGGCUACACACGUGCUACAAUGGACAAUACAAAGGGCAGCGAAACCGCGAGGUCAAGCAAAUCCCAUAAAGUUGUUCUCAGUUCGGAUUGUAGUCUGCAACUCGACUACAUGAAGCUGGAAUCGCUAGUAAUCGUAGAUCAGCAUGCUACGGUGAAUACGUUCCCGGGUCU
rnacentral:rRNA from 1 species